UGGGGAAUAUUGCACAAUGGAGGGAACUCUGAUGCAGCGACGCCGCGUUAACGAAGAAGGCUUUCGAGUCGUAAAGUUCUUUUAUAUGGGAAGAUAAUGACGGUACCAUAAGAAAAAGCCUCGGCUAACUACGUGCCAGCAGCCGCGGUAAUACGUAGGGGGCUAGCGUUGUCCGGAAUCACUGGGCGUAAAGGGUUCGCAGGCGGAAAUGCAAGUCCGGUGUAAAAUGCAGUAGCUUAACUACUGUAAUCAUUUGAAACUGCAUAUCUUGAGAAGAGUAGAGGUAAGUAGAAUUUUUAGUGUAGCGGUAAAAUGAGUAGAUAUUAAAAAGAAUAACGGUGGCAAAGGCGACUUACUGGGCUCAUUCUGACGCUGAGGAACGAAAGCGUGGGUAGCAAACAGG
rnacentral:rRNA from 1 species